rnacentral:lncRNA from 1 species
CACCAAAAUGGAUGUAAAUAGAAACAUCACUUUUUCUUGGAACGGAUGUAAAAUUCAUAUUACAACAGUCAUCUAAUUUCCUAAAUGGACCUACACAGACCAGGAAACAAUUUUUGCUUCCCUAGGGAAUCUUCCUGAAUUGUUUCUUAUAUUUCCAUUCCUCCUAAUCUCCGGUUCUGUACAAAGCUCUUCAACUGCACAAAACAGAAAAAACAAAGAACACAAUUGCAUGAUCAACAUAAGUCGUGUGUUCUAUGGAAAGCACCGUAAUGCAGCAAUAAAAUUCUAUGCUGAUUACAGCAGAAGUUGCAAUAUAGGUCGACAAAAAAGCAAGUUUCAAGCACCUGGAAACAGAUUAUAGUACAAAAUUUUAGCAUCCUUGAACCACUACAUACUAACACAAAUUAAUUUAUCAGUGUUCAUGCACAUAGAACAAACUGUGUUGCCCACUAUAGGGUAGGAAAUUAAAGAUGAAUACUUAUUAGAGUGUAACUGACAUGUUGAAAGAUCCUGCGAAGUUUGAAAUUAAUCGCAUAGAUACUGCUGAUCCCAAAAUUGAAUUGCAACGAAAAGGUGGAAUACAAGUAGAGGAAAAUAACAGAGAUUUCAAUGGGCGGGCAUGGCCGAGGACAUGACAGCUUCAACGCCACACCACCUUCAGUACAGAGAUUUUGUUUGAACUGUGGCGGACUCUGUACAUGGUCCAGAUUAGCUCAUAAUGAACACUAUUAGGUUUACCUCUCCAAUUUCUGCUUGCUGCAGCUUUUGUGCUUAUGAAGAGGAGCCUCAAGUGUUGCUCAUGGCCCCAAGAGUUUUCAUCGCAACCCAUCUCGAAGAACAGGGCAAAGAGAUCAAACAACUCAUCCAGUCGACAUAAACUAUAUCUCAAACCUUGAAUGCAGCUCCACUUUCCGAAAAUCACUGACCAGUUCACAAGGACAUCUCCAGGCCUGAAAAGGCUGAAAAAUACAAGCAUAUAAUAAGUUUCUAUGCUCAGCAGUAAAAAUACAAGCAUAUAAUAAGCAAUCACCAGAUAACUUACUUCUCGCCAAGCAGAUUUGAAGCAUGAAAUUUCUGCCCUCAUGGACGCGCCAUGGAGAAGAGUAAAUUCAUUAAACACUCGUACCUAAAUGAAAGCAGGAAUUUGAGCAACAAAACGGGCAUGUAGAAAAAUAUCUCAGCGACUGCGAACAAUUGAUCAAAAGGCAUGACUUACAGUGGAUAGACUGAGGUCUCGGCCGUGCAUAGAUUCUACCCAGUAAAAUGGCAGCAACACGCCAAGAACAACGACAGUUAAGGAUCACAUCUGUCCAUACAUGGUCCAUACUCCCUGAAAUCCUGGAAGAACAAACCGUGAAAAGUUGAAAUUAGGAGUAAAUAACAUAUCAAAAGAGUUCACAAAUAGAAAGGAGAAAAUCCGAUAUCUGUACAAAGACAAAAUUAUGUUUCCGUAUCAUAAACUCUGUACAUCCAAAUCGCUAGGAAGAUCCUCUGUUGGGCUACUACUGCAAGGACAUCCAGCAUUCUGCUCGUACUUUUAAACACAUGAACGAAUCAACAUGUAUGCACUGAAUGAAAAUAUCCUCAUGAAACAAACCAAAGGGGGAUGAAAAGCAGAUCUGAGACUUGAGGAGAGAAGAAAUAUCAUACUGAUGUACAAUCCAAAUAACCUAAACCUGAAAAUAGAGAAUAGAACCAUGUAUGCAUACUUGUACCCUUUCUGAAUCAUUAAAUACACCAUAACUAUUUUAAAUUUAUUCGUUUAGCAAUUAGGACACCGUACAUAGAAAUAAUUAAUUACCUAUAAACAUCAAAAGUUAACUAAACAGUAGGCUAUUUACAUGGACCAAAUCAAAUUUGUGACUGGUUUUAAGGUUGGAAUUGAACACUUGCAGACAUAGACGACUCAAAUCAACCUUGACUAAUCAAUAAACAAUCGAUUCCAACAUACGGAGAAGAAUCUAAGUUUCUUGUGAGGCUUCAUCUAGGAACAAUAUCAUUCCCAAUCAAUGAAGAAACACGUCACACCACUUACAUGGGGCCGAAGAGGUUCUGGCGGAGGUGCCGAAGACAUGCGAAGGCGGACCCGGAGGUGCUCGGAUCUGGCUGAUGCAAGGGUCCAUAGCGCGAUAGGGAAGGCAGGGGCUCAGGGGCGUCGCCGUACAGCCGAUGGUGGGGGCGGCGAGCAGCGAUUGCUAGAGAUGUGCUGGCCGACGAG